UCUUGGUCAUUUAGAGGAAGUAAAAGUCGUAACAAGGUCUCCGUUGGUGAACCAGCGGAGGGAUCAUUACUGAGUUAUCCAACUCCCAAACCCCUGUGAACAUACCUAUGUUGCUUCGGCGGGCCGUCCCGCGGCGCGCCCACGUGGCGUGACCCGGACCCAGGCGCCCGCCGGGGAACCAAACUCUUGUCUUCGAGUGUCUCCUCUGAGUGGCAUAAGCAAAAAUAAACAAAACUUUCAGCAACGGAUCUCUUGGUUCUGGCAUCGAUGAAGAACGCAGCGAAAUGCGAUAAGUAAUGUGAAUUGCAGAAUUCAGUGAAUCAUCGAAUCUUUGAACGCACAUUGCGCCCGCCAGUAUUCUGGCGGGCAUGCCUGUCUGAGCGUCAUUUCAACCCUCAGCCCCCGUUCGCGGGGCGCUGGCGUUGGGGCCCGGCCGUCCUCGCGGCGGCCGUCCCCGAAACACAGUGGCGGUCUCCCGCAGACUCCCCUGCGUAGUAGCACUACCUCGCAGAAGGGACGAGCGGGCUGGCCACGCCGUAAAACACCCCACUUCUCCAGGUUGACCUCAGAUCAGGUAGGAAUACCCGCUGAACUUAAGCAUAUCAAUAAGCGGAGGAA
rnacentral:rRNA from 1 species